ensembl:ncRNA K09A11.8 ncRNA
UCAAGAACAGAUGCGCAUAAAUUGUUCAUACUGAAAUAUAGGAACAUGAUAGUUGCAUAUCAGUAUCGACAACAAUUAUUCCAGAAACGAGAAUUUUACUCACUCAAGAUUUGGAUUUCCACUUUGUUUCAUUUGUUGUAAAUAUGCAU